rnacentral:rRNA from 1 species
UACGUAGGGUGCGAGCGUUAAUCGGAAUUACUGGGCGUAAAGCGUGCGCAGGCGGUCUCGUAAGACAGGUGUGAAAUCCCCGGGCUCAACCUGGGAACUGCGCUUGUGACUGCGAGGCUGGAGUGCGGAAGAGGGAGGUGGAAUUCCACGUGUAGCAGUGAAAUGCGUAGAUAUGUGGAGGAACACCGAUGGCGAAGGCAGCCUCCUGGUCCAGCACUGACGCUCAUGCACGAAAGAGUGGGGAGCAAACAGG